CGUCUUAUAAUAUCCACCAGCUCUUUUGAUGGUACCUUAAAUGGAUGGCUCAAGCAUGGUGAAAAGAACAAGAUUGAAGAGAACAGGAUUUUAAAUAUGGAUGGAAAAUUCACCCCUGUUUUCAGCAGAAUCACACUAGAUCUACUUGAUAUCUUGGACAAGAUGAUUAGACGUAAGAUGUGUCCGAAAGACCUUACAGUUGACAACCUAUAUCUGAAGACUGUGAAUGGUCAACCUCAACUUAAAGUAUUCUUCGAUGAUGUUGAGGAUCUCAGGGAUAAGGCUCAAACGUAUAUGGAAAAACUAUAUGUGAAACUAUGUGCGGAGAUAAAGAAAAUUAUGACAGCUGAUGUUUUGAUACAAAUGCACACAGGGACCAGGGCGUACUGUGAUUUCAUUGAGAAACAUGGUCCUGACUGCAUUGGCAAAAAUUUGGCAAAAGUUGCCAAGUUUUAUCCCAUUGAGUGAAAUGAUGAAGACAAGAGCAAGUAUCUCAUUGACAUAUUCUCAUCAACUCGAGAUUGUAGUGCGGCUCUUAAUGCUUGUGGAAUAAGAUGGGCAAGAAAUGAGUCUGAAGAUGACAUGUGUCAGGAGCUGAAAACACUAAAAGAAAUGAUGGAAAGAGCGAACAUAGAUAACAACAAAAGGAAGGCGGCGCUGAAACUUCAAGGAGCUGAGGGUAGAGCUGCGGCCAACAAGAUCAGGGAAUACAUAUGGAACUGUGAUAUUGACUAUCCAAAUGAUCUUGUCAGGCUCGUGAGGAACCUAUGGAAGCAUUUCUCCACGUACCCUCACUACAUUAAGACGCAUCUUGGGGGUAGCCAAAGUGCUGUUUUGCGCAAGUUCGAGCAGUGGUGCCCUGAUGCCUGGACGUUGAUCUACAACACCAUGGGCCAACCAUGAAGCAAGGAGACUGGCGGCCAAGGAGAUUGCAGGCAAGGAGGAGGCUGAAGCAAUGUUUUUUGGAACUCAGUAGCAUGGAACUGACGAGAGCACUGAAUAUAUUUUUUGACGGUGCAAAACACUGAUUCGUAAACUGCGCUUGCGGGAAGCGUGAGAAACCAAACGAAAGAUUUGGCGGUGCAAAACACCUGAUCUUUUUUGUAAGAUGAAAAACUGCGCUGGAAGUGUAAUUUUUUGGAUAGGAGCGCUGCAAGUGUAAUUUUCUGGAUGGGCGCGCUGGAAGUGUGCGUGCGUGCGUAUGAGACCAAAAGAAAGAUUUGGCUGAAUGCCGCGCCAGCCCAGCUGGAAGUGUUUGAGACCAAACGGAUGAUUUGGCAGCCGGCCGGAUUCUGUAAACAAAUGCUACGAGUAGGAACCAAAAACAUGGAUUUGGUCUUGCUUUA